CGUCUCCCCAAGUCGACACCACCUGUGGGGCUGCAGGGCAGAGUGCGCCCUGCCUGGCACAAUAGGCAUGAGUCACGGCAAGGAGGAACUGGCUGUGUUGGAGCGGAAGGUGAUCCGUCAGGCAGUCGAAGCUGGAUACAUGCCCAGGAGCGGGAUUGCUGGAUCAUAAGGCCCGCCAACAGCCUAUAAAACUCAGCAUUCAAAAAAAAAAAAAAAGCCCAACAACAACAAACUGACUUUAAAAUAGGUAGAAGAACCGAAUAGACAUUUUUCCAAAGAAGAAAUGCAAAUUGCCAACAGGUACGUGACAAG